CGUAGGACCCUCUGAGCCAGGUGCGGGAUAUAAUCUCGCGGUGCGCCGUUUUUUAAGCCCGUCGGAAAAGCGCAGUAUUCGGGUGGGAGCGAGCCGAUUUUCCAGGUGCCGUCCGUCACCCCUUUCUUUGACUAGGAAAGGGAACUCCCUGACCCCUUGCGCUUCCGGAGUGAGGCAAUGCCUCGCCCUGCUUCGGCUCGCGCACGGUGCACGCACCCACUGACCUGCGCCCACUGUGUGGCACUCCCUAGUGAGAUGAACCCGGUACCUCAGAUGGAAAUGCAGAAAUCACCCGUCUUCUGCGUGGCUCACGCUGGGAGCUGUAGACCGGAGCUGUUCCUAUUCGGCCAUCUUGGCUCCUGGAUCUCUGUGUCAACCUUCUUUUAUUUUUAAAAGAUAUUCACUGUCUCUUACUAAAGCUUCCUGUUCAAAGUCUGGCUGAGAAUUUUUGCUGCUUCUUUCCCUACCUCCUCAUUUCCGAAGACAACUUAAGGGUAUCCUGAGGAGAUGAGAUCAGGACCUUCAGAUUACGAGACUCACGCCCUGCUGGCUGCGCUAAGAGGGCUCCUGAGGAGAUGAGAUCAAACAUAGGAAGAAAAAUGGAGUCUCCAAGAUGUCCACAUUUGAAUCUCUGGAACCUGUGAAUAUGUUACUUUAUAUGGCAAAAGGAACUUUGCAGGUGUGAGAAAAGUUGAGGACCUUGAGAUGGGGAGAUCAUCCUGGAUUAUUUGAAUAAGCCCAAAUUCAUCAAAUGAAUUCUUAAAAGAACCUUUCCUCUGAGAUGAGAGUCUGAGGGAGAUGUGGCUAUGGAAGAAUGGUCAGAGAGCAAUGCAAAGCUGCUGGCUGUGAAGAUGGAAGAAGGGGCCAUAAGCCAAGAAAUAUGGUUGGUUUCUAGGAGCUGGAAGAGGCAAGAAGACAUAUUCUCCUCUAGACCCUCCAGAAGAAAUGCAGCCUCACUGACACCUUAAUUUUAGCCCUGAAAGACCCAUUUCAGAACUCUGACCUACAGAACUGUAAGAUUAUGCUGUUUCAAAAUUGAUUAGUUCUCUGACUCGCACACUGAAAUCAUCCAACCUAUUGAAAAAGCAGAAUGGGAUGUGGAUUAUAGGGUUUCAGAUAACACCAAGUCCCUAGUGAAAGAAACAAUCCUGAGAUUCACUCUGAAUGCAAGCCUUUACUCAAGUCACGUGCUCAAGGCAGAGCCAAUCACUGAUUAGCUGGAUGGAAUGUGCCGAUUGGUUUAACAUAGGUUGCAUAUUUGACUCUUGGAGUUGGAGAUGAUAAGUGCUUCCCUUGAACCACCUGCAUCUUCGAAU
rnacentral:lncRNA from 1 species